GGUUUUUUGAAAAUAAUUUAAAAUCAAAUCUGCUCAAUGAAUUUUAAAUAGCUGCAGUAUCAUGACUGUACAAAGGUAGCAUAAUCAUUUGUCUUUUUAUUAAAGUCUAGUAUGAAUGAUUUAAUGAAAUAAAAUCUGUCUCAAAUUAAAAAUUAAAUUUUAUUAUAAGUUAAAAUUCUUAUAUUUAAUUAAAAGACGAGAAGACCCUAUAGAAUUUAAUAAUAUUAAAUUUUAUUUAUUAUAUAGAUAUUUUUUUAAAUAAUUUUUUUAUUAUUUUGUUGGGGUGACAAAAAAAAUUAAUAAAUUUUUUUAAUAAAUUAACAUUAAUUAAUGAAUAUAAUUUAUCCAUUUUUAAUGAAUAUAAAAUAAAUUACCUUAGGGAUAACAGCGUAAUUUUUUUAAAGAGAUCAUAUUGAUAAAAAAGUUUGCGACCUCGAUGUUGAAUUAAGAUAUAUUAAUAUUGUAGAAAAUAUUAUAUUAAGUCUGUUCGACUUUUAAAAUCU
rnacentral:rRNA from 2 species